rnacentral:rRNA from 1 species
CACGUAGGGGGCGAGCGUUGUCCGGAAUUAUUGGGCGUAAAGAGCACGCAGGUGGUUGAUUAAGUCUGAUGUGAAAGCCCACGGCUUAACCGUGGAGGGUCAUUGGAAACUGGUCGACUUGAGUGCAGAAGAGGGAAGUGGAAUUCCAUGUGUAGCGGUGAAAUGCGUAGAGAUAUGGAGGAACACCAGUGGCGAAGGCGGCUUCCUGGUCUGUAACUGACACUGAGGCGCGAAAGCGUGGGGAGCAAACAGGAUUAGAUACCCGGGUA